rnacentral:rRNA from 1 species
UACGUAGGGGGCAAGCGUUGUCCGGAAUCAUUGGGCGUAAAGCGCGUGUAGGCGGCCAGGUAAGUCCGUUCUGAAAGCCCGGGGCUCAACCCCGGGAGGCGGAUGGAUACUGCUUGGCUCGAGUCCGGAAGAGGCGAGUGGAAUUCCCGGUGUAGCGGUGAAAAUGCAUUGAGAUCGGAAAGAACACCAACGGCGAAAGCACUCUGCUGGGCCGACACUGACACUGAGAGACGAAAGCUAGGGGAGCAAAUGGG